rnacentral:misc_RNA from 1 species
CAGAGUUGCAAAACUCCCACACAAACCAUCGCGAAUCUUACCCGUACGGUUUUUGCCUCGGCGCUGGCGGUCCGGAAGGCCCUCGGGCCCCCCGGAUCCUCGGGUCUCCCGCUCGCGGGAGGCUGCCCGCCGGAGUGCCGAAACCAAACUCUUGAUAUUUUAUGUCUCUCUGAGUAAACUUUUAAAUAAGUCA